rnacentral:lncRNA from 1 species
GAGGACCUCCCAGAGGAGGUGAAGGAGUGAGCUCUGCCACAGUCUUUGGGUAGGAACAGCUGGUGAAAGCCUCUGGGAUGGAAGCCCCGCUGAUAAGGAAACUGAGGUUCAAACACCAAAUGAGGAGCAAAGCAUGGACCAGCACUCCAGCCAGUGGGCUCCACAGCCAGCCAACUGCAGCCUGGCUCACCCCACAGUCCAGCACACAGCACUUCUGAGUGCAAGCCUGCCUUCCCUCAGGACAGCCUCCCAAUUCUACUCUCUGCCCUUAUAGCUUUCCUCUCCCUCCACCAACUUUCAUGUGAACAGUGGAAUAAUCACCACAGGGUAAAAGCACAAUUCACAAGACUAGGAGAAAAGCCUAGGAGCACCUGAGAAUGUAGGCCUUUCACAAGAGGACCACGCACACAGCACUUUGUGCUCAGAGUGCUCAUUACCAAAGCAGACUAGGAUGCUUCCAGCUGCAGGAAAUCAGAAAACCCAAAGUCAAACUGGCAUAAACCAUGGGAAAAUUUAUUAUCACACAGAACUAUGAGAUGAGAGGCAGAGGGAGAUCCAGGCCUGGAUCCUGUGACCAGCAGGUGAGUGCCAGAACCAAAAAUGCAGGUUCCUUCUGUCUUUCUGCUCUGACAACUUCAGUGUCAGACUCACCUCAAGACUGAUCCCCUCAAGGUCACAGAAUGGCUGCCAGUGGAAAUACGGUCACAGCUAUGCUUCAUUAUUUGCUCUCUCAUUCUGGAUGUGAAGGAAAAUGCUUCCCCCUCCCCCCUCAAAAAAUAAAGUCUUUCCUUAUGACUGAGGCAACCCAGAUCAUGUGGAUACCUCUAGACCAUAAACAGUCACCACGGGAAAACCAUGCUCUCACCUACUUAAAGAAUGGAUUCUCAUGGCUAAGGGUGAAGGGGAAGUAACCGAAGAAAAUGUGCAUCUCGUUAUUAGGAAAGACAAAGGAAAUGGAUGCUGAUAGGCAGCCAGCACUGUCCACUAUUCCUGUGUUUCUCAAACUUUAAUGCACAUGAACUCCCAGAGGAUCUCACUACAACACAGAUCCGGAUUUGGUAGGUCUGAGAUAGAUAGGGCCCAAGAUUCUACAUCUUCAAUAAGCUUCCAGAUAAUGAUUAUGCUCCUGGUCCCUCUCUGCACACAGGAGCUAUUCAACAAUGGUUUGUGUGUCCCUUACCUAAAGAGCACACCUCCCCUAGUGACCAGGGUGUCUGGCCGCCUCCUGAGAGCGUCAUGUCAUGUACUUUUGUCAGGCUGGUUGCCAGCUGCGCUCUGAACAUUAGAGGCCAGCACACUCCUCUCAGCUGUAAUGGCACGGAUAUUGAAUAGUGCAGGUGACAAAUUACCCUGAGGCAUCCAGAAACUAAGAAGCUUUUUAAACAAAAACAUUUGGCAAAAUAAUCAAUGGUGAUAAAUAAUAUACUCUAGCUCUAAUGGCAAGCUGUUAUAAAUCUCUUGCAUUUUAUCACCCCAUCUAUGUUAAGAGUUUCUACCCCAAGAAUAAGGAAGAUACUCUUCUUCAGAGACUGUCCUUCAGUAGCACUACCCCAAUGGGACACCAUGCCAAGUACAGGGGGAGAAGGUGACCACUCCUCGGGAAUAGAGUGUAGGCUCUAGAGUCUGGGAUGAAGUGGAGCCAUGGGUUAGUCUGGCUCAUACUGAAGAAGAUGUAAAGGGCAAUAGGUAUCAAGUGAAUAUACAGGAAAUAAGUAGCAGCAUCUCCUAGAUUUUCCACAGGAUCUCAAUACCACUGACCCCACCAAGAGGUGUCAUUCCUCCACCACCUCUUCUAUCCUCUCCUGGCAAUUUCCUUGGCUUCAGAAUAACAAGGUGUUCCCCAACAUUGAAUGGAUUUCCCAGAGAAAAUGUAAUGCUACAGGAAAUGCAUAGGAUCGGAAAUUCCAGGGCCCAGGUCUCAACAUCAGCUUUGUCAUUUUACCAACCAACUAUGUGAGUAAACAAGUAUUUCCUGAGUCUUGGUUUGCUUAUCUAAAAAAAUAAAAGAGAAUGAGGAUAAUC